rnacentral:rRNA from 1 species
UAGAGUUUGAUCCUGGCUCAGGACGAACGCUGGCGGCGUGCCUAACACAUGCAAGUCGAGCGAAGUAUAUUUAAGUGAAGUUUUCGGACGGAACUUAAAUAUAUCUUAGCGGCGGACGGGUGAGUAACGCGUGAGCAACCUGCCUUUCACAAAGGGAUAGCCUCGGGAAACUGGGAUCAAUACCAUAUGAUACUUAACUUUCGCAUGAAAGAUAAGUUAAAGCGAAUAAGCGGUGAAAGAUGGGCUCGCGUCCUAUUAGCUAGUUGGUGAGGUAACGGCUCACCAAGGCGACGGUAGGUAGCCGGCCUGAGAGGGUGAACGGCCACACUGGAACUGAGACACGGUCCAGACUCCUACGGGAGGCAGCAGUGGGGGAUAUUGCACAAUGGAGGAAACUCUGAUGCAGCGACGCCGCGUGAAUGAUGAAGGCCUUCGGGUUGUAAAGUUCUGUCCUUGGGGAAGAUAAUGACGGUACCCAAGGAGGAAGCCCCGGCUAACUACGUGCCAGCAGCCGCGGUAAUUCA